rnacentral:tRNA from 1 species
GUUAUUGUAGCUUAUCAUAAAGCACGGCACUGAAGAUGCCAAGAUGGGUAACCAACAUACCCCAAAAACA